rnacentral:rRNA from 1 species
UACGAAGGGGGCAAGCGUUGUUCGGAAUUACUGGGCGUAAAGGGCGCGCAGGCGGCUGAUCAAGUCAGAUGUGAAAGCCCCGGGCUCAACCUGGGAACUGCAUUUGUGACUGCAUGGCUGGAGUGCGGCAGAGGGGGAUGGAAUUCCGCGUGUAGCAGUGAAAUGCGUAGAUAUGCGGAGGAACACCGAUGGCGAAGGCAAUCCCCUGGGCUAACACUGACGCUCAUGCACGAAAGCGUGGGGAGCAAACAGGAU